GACGAACGCUGGCGGCGUGCCUAAUACAUGCAAGUCGACCUUAGUGGCGAACGGGUGCGUAACACGUGGGUAACCUGCCCAUCAGAAGGGGAUAACCCUUGGAAACAGGUGCUAAUACCGUAUACUGAUGGAUGGAGCAGCGGUGCAUUAGCUAGUUGGUGAGGUAACGGCUCACCAAGGCCACGAUGCAUAGCCGACCUGAGAGGAUGAGCGGCCACAUUGGAACUGAGACACGGCCCAGACUCCUACGGGAGGCAGCAGUAGGGAAUCUUGGACAAUGGACGAAAGUCUGACAGAGCAACGCCGCGUGAGUGAAGAAGGUUUUCGGAUCGUAAAACUCUGUUAUUAGAGAAGCGGUAUCUAAACAGAAAGCCACGGCUAACUACGUGCCAGCAGCCGCGGUAAUAC
rnacentral:rRNA from 1 species